UUCACGCCGCGUGAGGGAUGAAGGCCUCUGGGCUGUAAACCUCUUUUAUCAAGGAAGAAGAUCUGACGGUACUUGAUGAAUAAGCCACGGCUAAUUCCGUGCCAGCAGCCGCGGUAAUACGGGAGUGGCAAGCGUUAUCCGGAAUUAUUGGGCGUAAAGCGUCCGCAGGCGGUUUUGUAAGUCUGUCGUUAAAGCGUGGAGCUUAACUCCAUUUAGGCGGUGGAAACUACAAGACUAGAGUGUGGUAGGGGCAGAGGGAAUUCCCGGUGUAGCGGUGAAAUGCGUAGAUAUCGGGAAGAACACCAGUGGCGAAGGCGCUCUGCUGGGCCAUAACUGACGCUCAUGGACGAAAGCCAGGGGAGCGAAAGGGAUUAGAUACCCCUGUAGUCCUGGCCGUAAACGAUGAACACUAGGUGUCGGGGGAAUCGAACCCCUCGGUGUCGUAGCCAACGCGUUAAGUGUUCCGCCUGCGGAGUACGCACGCCAGUGUGAAACUCUAAGGGAUUGACGGAGGCCCGCACAAGCGGUGGAGUAUGUGGGUUAAUUCGAUGCAACGCGAAGAACCUUACAGAGGUUGUACUCCUUGGGAAUUUCUUGGGAACGGAGAUUGGCUCGGGAGCGCAUGACCCGGGUGCAUGGUGUCUCGCCGUGUCGGAAUUUGGUUAGUCCGAAA
rnacentral:rRNA from 1 species